rnacentral:lncRNA from 1 species
AGUAACUUUCCUGAGCGGUGUUCAGCUGAGUACAGGACCUGUGCGUGGCAGAAGUCCAGCAUUGAACUAAUCUGUUCUUUUCCGCUUGUUACCUUCAGGGCAAAUUAAACCCGAGACUUCACAAAAUACAAUGCUUCCUGCAGUAGAACUGAAUUUUUCCUCUGUAUUUAAAAGGAAAGCUGCUACAGUGAUAACUGCAGAUAUGAAUAAGAGUGAAGGGAUAGAAUGGUAUAGUUGCUUUAAAACUGAUAAUCUUUUUGGCCACAAAUGGAAAGGAAAUUCAUGUCCACUUUCCUUCCUUUGGAUAGUAUUUUGACUUUUAGUUUCAUCUCUCAUUAAAAAACAGCUAACACACAUGGGGACAGCACACGAGACAUGUGACACUGCCAGCAGGGUUGUCUUCUCUCCUGUGUCUGCAGAGGUCCUCAGGCAGACUGCUGCACAGGGSAACAGUGAAGUCAGAGCCCCCAGGCACUACUGCAUUGUCAGGUGAAUCAAAUUCAAGAGGAUUAAAUAGCACAGUAUGCAAAAUUCUUGCUCCCUCAAUCCCUUCUGAUUUCCAGUUCUCAGGAAAAAUCGGCAGCCAGUUGCUGACAAGACCAGGAUUAGAACUCCCUGACUGGACACAUAGGAGACCUUGCUAUAAAAAUGUGAUGAGGAGAGGAAGUAAUUGCAUAAUCUACAUUUGGCCUGGCAGUCAGCCUUCUGACCUACAAACUUACAUGAUCCACUUCCAAUAAGUCAGGAAGAAAAGGGACUCAGAUUGUAGCAAAUCAUGCCUCAGGUCACUAUGAGAAAAGUCAGUGGAAAUGUCUCCAUCAGUUCAAUCCUCCCACUUCCUGACAGAGGAGAAAUCAAAGCUAGAAGCCUUCAUGCAAGGCUUAUGAAGCACUGCCAGUCCCUUUCUCAGGCUUUGUUUAACUGUGAAAUAUUAGAAUGCACAAGUUCCUUUUAGUGAAAGAAAUGUCACUGCCUCUCCUCAUAAAGGCAGGGAGGAUUUCAGCAUAUACACUGGUGUCACUGGUUGUCUGUACACAUUAGCCUUAGAACAAGCACUGCGAAUGAUACAAUCAUGUACCGACAGAGGAACUUGGCUCUAGCCAAAGCUUGUUUAAAGACAAACUGCCAGCAUGUUACCACAAGGAUGCUAUUUAAUUUUUCACCCUUCUUUCACAUUUUAUUGUUCUACUUUUGACUAAGCCAUGCUAAUAAACAGAAUGCAGGAAAUUUCUGGUUA